AUACUUACCUGCAGGGGAGACACUGUGAUCACGAAGGUGGGUCUCCCAGGGUGAGGCUCAUCCAUUGCUCUCUGUACGUGCUGACCUGCGAUUUCCCCAAAUAUGGGAAACUCGACUGCAUGAUUUUUGUUAGUGGGGGACUGUGUUUGCACACUCCUCUU
ensembl:snRNA U1 U1 spliceosomal RNA